AACGGCCAUACCAUGCUGAAUAUACCGUUUCUCGUUAGAUCACCAAAGUCAAGCAUCAUUGGGUGCUGCGGUCAGUACUUAGGUGGGUGGCCACCUAGAACACCGCGUGCCGUU